CCUACGGGAGGCAGCAGUGAGGAAUAUUGGUCAAUGGGCUUACGCCUGAACCAGCCAAGUCGCGUGAGGGAAGACUGCCCUAUGGGUUGUAAACCUCUUUUGUCAGGGAGCAACGCCGGCUACGUGUAGCCGGACUGAGAGUCCCUGAAGAAAAAGCAUCGGCUAACUCCGUGCCAGCAGCCGCGGUAAUACGGAGGAUGCGAGCGUUAUCCGGAUUUAUUGGGUUUAAGGGGUGCGUAGGCGGAAUGCCAAGUCAGCGGUAAAAUCGCGGGGCUCAACCUCGCUCCGCCGUUGAAACUGGCGUGCUUGAGUGGGCGAGAAGUAUGCGGAAUGCGUGGUGUAGCGGUGAAAUGCAUAGAUAUCACGCAGAACUCCGAUUGCGAAGGCAGCAUACCGGCGCCCAACUGACGCUGAAGCACGAAAGCGUGGGUAUCGAACAGGAUUAGAUACCCCUGUAGUC
rnacentral:rRNA from 1 species